GUAUAUGGAGAUGGUGAAGUGAGAAUUCAUAAGUCAUGAUGUGGGUAACAACUCAAUAGUUGGUGAAGACAGUUGGCUACCAUACAUCCCUAUAUUCUCCUCAUCCCCAAACACACAUGCUCA